GGGAGCACUUAGGUGCCUUCUUGAUGAGGUAUUCAGCCGGCUGAAAACUGAAGUUGAUCCUGUCGGGCUUGUAACAGCGGCAGUCUUGGCUUUCAAGCAUAAGUGCCCUCUCAGCAGGCCCCACCGCCCGCAAAGUGCUGGGUGAGCUCCAUAGGCGUAGGCCUGUUCCGAGUCCGAUACCUCCAGUAGGGACUAUACGAAUAUCCGAAAUGUUGCUGUA